AUAUCUUUGGCAAUAUUUUUACUAACAUCAGUAUAUUUUUAAAAUAAAAUGAUGUAUUUCAGAAGAUUUACCUGGAAGUAGGAAGGCCUUGACACCAGGGAGGAGGCUGCAGGCUGAGCACAGGGCAGCUGAGUGACUCUGCCAUGCCAAUCCCACGUCCCACUACUGAACAAAGUUUUACUGUCUCAUGUCUUACUGACCCACUCAUUUGAGGCUGAACUUUUUUGGUACCUUUGACCACUUGUUUGGGAGUUUUGCCAGUGGCCAGAUAGAAGGAUGCUUCAGAGCAAAUUGGGGUCUGCCUCACUGAGUCUUCCUUUGUGCCUCCUCUGACAGGGAGCAGGACAACACACCCUGUGUUGACCCUCCAGACUGGGCAGGAACCUCAGUCCAGCUCUGCCAUUGACCGGCUGUGACCCUCGUGGCCAACAUUACUCUGAGACUCAGUCUCUUUAGUCUAUUCCAGAGUGGGUUCCUUAAAUGCCUUGAAGGAACAUCACUUACCUACUAAAGUAUAAUAAAAAUGUCCACAAAUUAAAUAUGUCUUCUUUACUGGUGCUUGAAGAUGUUUUUUGGCACCCCAGAGUUAAACAAACACUGGAUGCCAAUGAUAUGCAGAAAAUUACUACUUUUGCUUUUUAAAGAGAAUCACCAUAUCUCAUCAAAUCUAAGAUGCCACCAACUGACUGCAAUUCGCAUUCUGAUUUUAGAAAUAAAUGUGAAAAAAAUGUAGAUCUUAGAAACACUGCAAUUGUUAGAAUAGCUGGCAAAAUAGCGAUUUUCUUGUUGAGAGGUGAUAAAAUGCUUCAGCUAUACUGUAUUCAGACUUGCCUGAUGUUACCCUGGUACUUAUAUCUUCUGCUUCUUUAUGGAUAUAUUUAAUAUUUCAUUCAGUGAAUAUGGAUUUACUGAAAAUAUUUUCUCAAAAUAUUUAAAAAAAAGUCUCGGAGCUUUGGAGAACACACAUAGAAAGCUGCCUGCCUAAAGUUCUUGAAAUAAAAAAAGUACACGAGAUAGAUUCUUUGCUAAGCACUUCUCAGUUACAAUGAGCAUUUCUUGAUAACCAAUGAACAACAGCGACAUUACUGAACAUUUGUUCUGAAAAGGCAGUAAAAAGGACUAUGGGAUAAACUCUUCCAACAUAACUUUGUGACCAGAUCCUGUCUGAGGAGCUUGUUAGGAGACUGACAAAAAUAGUCUCAAUUAAACGCUAUUCUCUUCCUUUAAGAAAAGCUCUCUUGCUCAGCUAUAUUACUGGACAGCAUGGCUUUGGUGCUUAAAGCUUUCCUGUUCUCACUGGAAAAUUGGAGUCAGUGCCUUAGGCACCACCACGCCGAGGCACCCUCAUGCUUAAUGAUCACAUCAGACUAUGCAGGCUUCAACCACUUUAAACAAUUUCCUUUGUCUCCCUUUCCUUUUCUGUAAAUUUUUUUGUUGUUUCGUUGUUAUGGGUAGUGACAGUUUCUGGUUUCUUUCGUUUACCAACGGUUUCCUUUACCACAGCCUCUAUUCCUCCUGCUGGAAGCCUGGCAUGAUUGGAAGCUGGAAGAAAAACCACAACUGAAUAGGCUGGCACUUACAUUAACAGUCAUUUCCAACCACAGAUUAAUACUGUUACUGGAUUUGACUAACGGCUCUCAAUCAGACCAACUGUCAUCACUUGAGAACAUGCUAGUCAGUGAAAGCCAAAAAGGAAAAUAUAAGCAAAUCCAAAUCAUGGUAUAAUUUUUCUGACUGCUCAUCUUUUGAAUCCAAAGAAAACUGCAUAGAAAAAUGGUGAGACACCAUCAUUUUCAUCUGAGUGAUUGAGUUUCUUCCUGCUGACUGUUUGGAGUUCCCCUAUGAGCUGGCAUAAGAGUUCAUCCAAGUGUGCUAUUUGUUUCUUCCCUGUGGAACUGCCAUAUCAGCUUUAAGAAAGAUGAUGAAAGAAAAGAAAUGGGCCGAGAAGGACCUAAGGAAACCAGGCCAAGCUUGCUGUUCAUGUGGACCCUUAGGGGGAGAAUGGAAGGCAAAAGCAGAGAACUGGGUCCAAUUUUCUUUCUCAGUGCUAUCUGUGCAGUGGUCAGAUGUGGCACUCACAACCAAAAGUUUUUGAAACAGCACCGCAAUUUUUGUUUCUUAAAGUGGCAUGUGGAAUGAAAGCUCACAGAGACAAUGAGGCUCCCCAGGUGCAAGCAUUUUUAAAGUCAGGACACACUGAGGACGGUUCACUAGUGUCGAUAAACACUUUAUACUUGCAAGUUGGAGCUCAAGCACCACGAAUUCAGGGCAGCUGCAUCAACCUCAGCUUGGCUGGUUUCACAUGCAAGAUCCCCAGUGUCUAUAGCCCCUACACAAACCAGAAAACACGACAAUGUGGGAGACAGAAGAACGAGACUUCAGUGAGAAGGGCACUGACUUAUUUUCUUCUCUCUUCCUGACAAAUGGCAAGUUGUCUGUUUCUUCUUUAAUUUAUCAUUUUAUUUGAUGACUUAGACCUGCAUUGUCCAAUCAGUACAUGUGGCUACUGAGCACUUGAAAUGUGGCUGGUCUGAACUGAGAUGUGCUGUAAGUGUAAAAUAGACAUUGGAGUUUGAACAGUUAGGUAAAAAAGAAGAAUGUAAAAAUAUCUCAUUCAUCUAUACAUUUAUAUUCAUUAAAGGUUGAAAUGAUAACAUUUUAGAUGUACUGUGUUAAAUAAAACAUAUUAUUAAAAGUAA